rnacentral:rRNA from 1 species
GACGAACGCUGGCGGCGUGCCUAAUACAUGCAAGUCGAGCGAACAGAUGAGGAGCUUGCUCCUUUGACGUUAGCGGCGGACGGGUGAGUAACACGUAGGUAACCUACCUAUAAGACUGGGAUAACUUCGGGAAACCGGAGCUAAUACCGGAUAAUAUUUCGAACUGCAUGGUUCGAUAGUGAAAGAUGGCUUUGCUAUCACUUAUAGAUGGACCUGCGCCGUAUUAGCUAGUUGGUAAGGUAACGGCUUACCAAGGCAACGAUACGUAGCCGACCUGAGAGGGGGAUCGGCCACACUGGAACUGAGACACGGUCCAGACUCCUACGGGAGGCAGCAGUAGGGAAUCUUCCGCAAUGGGCGCAAGCCUGACGGAGCAACGCCGCGUGAGUGGUGAAGGUCUUCGGAUCGUAAAACUCUGUUAUUAGGGAAGAACAAACGUGUAAGUAACUGUGCACGUCUUGACGGUACCUAAUCAGAAAGCCACGGCUAACUACGUGCCAGCCGCCGCAGUAAUAC